rnacentral:lncRNA from 13 species
AUGGAACUACUUAAAUGAAGUCAUAGCCUUGUGUGCAUGGAGCAGAGGCCAAGAAAAAGAAAUACAAACAAAUAUGUACGUCAUGAUACACAUAUGUAUGUAUAUGUGUGUACAUGUAUACAUACAUACAUGCACAUCUGCAUUUCUCCUCCAUUUUUCACCAGUGUAACAGAUUGCCUCUCCUGCUGUUGUUUGCAACCUUUUUACAGUUGGCAUUGGCAAAGACCUUUGGCAGCAGAGGACUGAGUCAUUUUUAUCUGCUGUGUUGCCAUGGGAUUCUGCUGCCCUGGAGAUUCUUCUGCUGGCACCUGCAGCACCAGCAAUGUGCAUCACUUGAACUGGGAACUCUCUCAGGGAAGAAGCAAAGUAGACCCACCUGGGAACUUUUCAAAAUCAGAAAGUGUCAUUUCUGCAAUGAUUGAGUUCUCUUUUUUCCAUAAGUGAGCUAACUAGCUUGAUCAUUUUUGCUUUUAACCUGAUGUCAUCAAGAGCUAUGUGUGUGUGUGUCUGUGUGUGUGUGUUUAAGUAUAACUGACUUCUGAUGUAUCAAUAUGACAAAUGAAUUACUGUAUUGACUCACUUCUCUGAGCAUAGAAUAUCAAGAUGCAUAUCAUUAGGCUCUGCUAUUCUAUCUUGCUCAGAAAAACCUGAAAAAAUAAAAAACUUAAAAUAUUCA